GGUGCUAUAGUGUAGUGGUCAUCACUCGGGAUUUUGAUUCUUCACUGCUGAUUUCUUGUCUUCCCGAAACCCAGGUUCGAACCCUGGUAGCACCU